CAGUCGCCACGGUAAUACGUAGGUCCCGAGCGUUGUCCGGAUUUAUUGGGCGUAAAGGGAGCGCAGGCGGUUUAGUAAGUCUGAAGUUAAAGGCAUUGGCUCAACCAAUGUAUGCUUUGGAAACUGUUAGACUUGAGUGCAGAAGGGGAGAGUGGAAUUCCAUGUGUAGCGGUGAAAUGCGUAGAUAUAUGGAGGAACACCGGUGGCGAAAGCGGCUCUCUGGCUUGUAACUGACGCUGAGGCUCGAAAGCGUGGGGAGCAAACAGGAUUAGAUACCCGUGUAGUCCCUGUCUCUUAUACA
rnacentral:rRNA from 1 species